rnacentral:ncRNA from 2 species
GAACACACAACUUCACCAGGGCGGCAGGGCCCAGGAAGCCGGUGCGAAUCCGGCACGGUCCCGCCACUGUGACUCAGGCUCCGCCUGACAGUCAGGAACUGACCUGUCGCCUUUCUUUCCG